rnacentral:rRNA from 2 species
CAAGUCGAACGGUAACAGGAAGCAGCUUGCUGCUUUGCUGACGAGUGGCGGACGGGUGAGUAAUGUCUGGGAAACUGCCUGAUGGAGGGGGAUAACUACUGGAAACGGUGGCUAAUACCGCAUAACGUCGCAAGACCAAAGAGGGGGACCUUCGGGCCUCUUGCCAUCAGAUGUGCCCAGAUGGGAUUAGCUUGUUGGUGAGGUAACGGCUCACCAAGGCGACGAUCCCUAGCUGGUCUGAGAGGAUGACCAGCCACACUGGAACUGAGACACGGUCCAGACUCCUACGGGAGGCAGCAGUGGGGAAUAUUGCACAAUGGGCGCAAGCCUGAUGCAGCCAUGCCGCGUGUAUGAAGAAGGCCUUCGGGUUGUAAAGUACUUUCAGCGGGGAGGAAGGUGUUGUGGUUAAUAACCGCAGCAAUUGACGUUACCCGCAGAAGAAGCACCGGCUAACUCCGUGCCAGCAGCCGCGGUAAUACGGAGGGUGCAAGCGUUAAUCGGAAUUACUGGGCGUAAAGCGCACGCAGGCGGUCUGUCAAGUCGGAUGUGAAAUCCCCGGGCUCAACCUGGGAACUGCAUUCGAAACUGGCAGGCUUGAGUCUUGUAGAGGGGGGUAGAAUUCCAGGUGUAGCGGUGAAAUGCGUAGAGAUCUGGAGGAAUACCGGUGGCGAAGGCGGCCCCCUGGACAAAGACUGACGCUCAGGUGCGAAAGCGUGGGGAGCAAACAGGAUUAGAUACCCUGGUAGUCCACGCCGUAAACGAUGUCUACUUGGAGGUUGUGCCCUUGAGGCGUGGCUUCCGGAGCUAACGCGUUAAGUAGACCGCCUGGGGAGUACGGCCGCAAGGUUAAAACUCAAAUGAAUUGACGGGGGCCCGCACAAGCGGUGGAGCAUGUGGUUUAAUUCGAUGCAACGCGAAGAACCUUACCUGGUCUUGACAUCCACAGAACUUUCCAGAGAUGGAUUGGUGCCUUCGGGAACUGUGAGACAGGUGCUGCAUGGCUGUCGUCAGCUCGUGUUGUGAAAUGUUGGGUUAAGUCCCGCAACGAGCGCAACCCUUAUCCUUUGUUGCCAGCGAUUAGGUCGGGAACUCAAAGGAGACUGCCAGUGAUAAACUGGAGGAAGGUGGGGAUGACGUCAAGUCAUCAUGGCCCUUACGACCAGGGCUACACACGUGCUACAAUGGCGCAUACAAAGAGAAGCGACCUCGCGAGAGCAAGCGGACCUCAUAAAGUGCGUCGUAGUCCGGAUUGGAGUCUGCAACUCGACUCCAUGAAGUCGGAAUCGCUAGUAAUCGUGGAUCAGAAUGCCACGGUGAAUACGUUCCCGGGCCUUGUACACACCGCCCGUCACACCAUGGGAGUGGGUUGCAAAAGAAGUAGGUAGCUUAACCUUCGGGAGGGCGCUUACCACUUUGUGAUUCAUGACUGGGGUGAAGUCGUAACAAGGUAACCGUAGGGGAACCUGCGGUUGGAUCACCUCCUU